rnacentral:rRNA from 1 species
UACGGGGGGGGCAAGCGUUGUUCGGAAUUACUGGGCGUAAAGGGCGCGUAGGCGGCCUGCUAAGUCGGACGUGAAAUCCCUCGGCUCAACCGGGGAACUGCGUCCGAUACUGGCGAGGCUUGAAUCCGGGAGAGGGAUGUGGAAUUCCAGGUGUAGCGGUGAAAUGCGUAGAUAUCUGGAGGAACACCGGUGGCGAAGGCGGCAUCCUGGACCGAUACUGACGCUGAGGAGCGAAAGCCAGGGGAGCAAACGGG